rnacentral:rRNA from 1 species
GAUGAACGCUAGCUACAGGCUUAACACAUGCAAGUCGAGGGGUAACGAGAGGAAAGCUUGCUUUCCUUGUCGACGACCGGCGCACGGGUGAGUAACGCGUAUCCAACCUGCCCCCAACUAGGGAAUAACCUUGCGAAAGUAAGACUAAUACCCUAUAAUUUCCUCAGAUGCCAUCUGACGAGGAAUAAAGAUUUAUCGGUUGUGGAUGGGGAUGCGUCUGAUUAGCUUGUUGGCGGGGUAACGGCCCACCAAGGCAACGAUCAGUAGGGGUUCUGAGAGGAAGGUCCCCCACAUUGGAACUGAGACACGGUCCAAACUACUACGGGUGGCAGCAGUGAGGAAUAUUGGUCAAUGGGCGGAAGCCUGAACCAGCCAAGUAGCGUGCAGGAUGACGGCCCUAUGGGUUGUAAACUGCUUUAUACAGGAAUAAAGUUAGCCACGUGUGGUUAUUUGCAGGUACUGUAUGAAUAAGGACCGGCUAAUUCCGUGCCAGCAGCCGCCGUAA